GUCAGGAAGAGGAGAGGAGCAGCAGCCGUAGCGCGUCCUCAGUCCGGCCUCGACAAGAGAAGGGGAGCAGCAGCCGCGCUAGCUGGUGCGCACCUCGUCGCCACCUCUCCUCACCUUCUCCCAGGUUCCUGAUCUGGAGUGGGAGGGACACACGCCGGCGAGGCCAGGCUACCCUUGACACGCAUAACUGAUGGAUAUCAAGGAUUGCUGCCUACAAGUUAUGUUUCCCCGUUAUAAGGACUCCAUUCAAUUGAUUAUUUUUUAUGGCUGCAGAUGUAGAAUGUUCUCACUAUCAACUCUGGAAUAACUAGCAAGUAGUGGUGUCAAUGGCAUCCGUGGGAGCCAUUUUGGUGGCACAUGGACAUCACGUUCUGGAAUAAAGCCAUGGAACAAUAAAUAACUUGGCAACGGAUACCCUGUGGUCUACAAUUAUACUGUAAUUAUGUGUGCACAUUGGAUCUAUUGGAUGUCUUAAUGUA